CUUCGCGGGUCCGCGUGAACAAAACCGUUUUGUUUUACUUUAAUUUCUUUUUUAUUUGGGAAAAAAAAUUUCUAAAAAAUAAUCGAAGAAGAAGUUCUUCCCAAUUCUUCACGAAAUCUAGGGAUUUGAGAAGGUGUGAUUCAUAGAUAUAGAGUGGAGUAAAAGGAAGGAAUAAAGGGUGGAAAAAAGGGGAGGAUCCAAUGGCUUUUUCUUGUUGAAUUCUUGGCUUCGGGCAGGAUUUUGGCUUGAAUUUCGGUCGGAAAGUGGAGAUUUUGAUCGAGGUUUUUGUUGUUUAGUUUCUCUUCGGUUUCUCCGAUUCAGUGUGGAAAGGAGGAAUCGAAGACGGUGAAUAGACUCAUAGAGGAUGUCAGGAUUCGUGGGAGUUUUAGUCUCCGAUCCCUGGCUUCAGAGUCAAUUCACUCAGGUUGAGCUACGGAGCCUGAAAUCUAGAUACCUCUCUACACGGAGAGAAACUGGCC